CCGACUUAAACAACUGAGUGGCGAACGGGUGAGUAACACGUGGGUAACCUGCCCCAAAGCGGGGGAUAACAUUUGGAAACAGACUAAUACCGCAUAACCACAGAAACCACAUGGUUUCUGUGUCAAAGAUGGUUUCGGCUAUCACUUUGGGAUGGACCCGCGGCGUAUUAGCUAGUUGGUAAGGUAAUGGCUUACCAAGGCAAUGAUACGUAGCCGAACUGAGAGGUUGAUCGGCCACAUUGGGACUGAGACGCGGCCCAAACUCCUACGGGAGGCAGCAGUAGGGAAUCUUCCACAAUGGACGAAAGUCUGAUGGAGCAACGCCGCGUGAGUGAAGAAGGUUUUCGGAUCGUAAAACUCUGUUGUCAGAGAAGAACGUGUGCGAGAGUAACU
rnacentral:rRNA from 1 species